rnacentral:lncRNA from 1 species
GUGGUACUCUACCAGUUCGCCUUAAGGAUGUUUGUGUAUUGGGCUUCGAAUUUGAUCUUAUCAAAUUUGGUUCAAAUUCAAUCAUUGAUGUCGGUUCUUCUACUUGUCGAACUUCGUCAAGCUCGAUUUUUGAAGCAUUUAUUCCUUCACUAAGAAAUUUCUUUUCCAAAAAGUGUGCCUUAUUGCUGACAAACACCUUUUGUUCAGCUGGCAGGU